UACUUGGAUAUAAGGUUUUCCCCAUAAAAUUCAACUCAUGUCUGGUAGUGAAAGAACUCAGUGGGGAAACCCCCACUCAGCUCCCGAUUCGGCGUGCACCCAAGAAUCACGAAUAGAACA
rnacentral:pre_miRNA from 7 species